rnacentral:rRNA from 1 species
GGUUUUUGAUAUGGCUCAGGAUGAACGCUAGCGGCAGGCCUAACACAUGCAAGUCGAGGGGUAACAGAGAGAAGCUUGCUUUUCUGCUGACGACCGGCGCACGGGUGAGUAACGCGUAUACAAUCUGCCUUAUACAGAGGGAUAGCCUUUAGAAAUGAAGAUUAAUACCUUAUAGUCUAUUUUUAUAGCAUUAUAUAAAUAGUAAAGCUUCGGUGGUAUAAGAUGAGUAUGCGUCCUAUUAGUUAGUUGGUAAGGUAACGGCUUACCAAGACAACGAUAGGUAGGGGCCCUGAGAGGGGGAUCCCCCACACUGGUACUGAGACACGGACCAGACUCCUACGGGAGGCAGCAGUGAGGAAUAUUGGACAAUGGAGGCAACUCUGAUCCAGCCAUGCCGCGUGCAGGAAGACGGCCCUAUGGGUUGUAAACUGCUUUUAUAUAGGAAGAAACCUUUUCACGUGUGAGAAGCUGACGGUACUAUAAGAAU